GAUGAACGCUGGCGGCGUGCCUAAUACAUGCAAGUCGAGCGAACAGACGAGGAGCUUGCUCCUCUGACGUUAGCGGCGGACGGGUGAGUAACACGUGGAUAACCUACCUAUAAGACUGGGAUAACUUCGGGAAACCGGAGCUAAUACCGGAUAAUAUAUUGAACCGCAUGGUUCAAUAGUGAAAGACGGUUUUGCUGUCACUUAUAGAUGGAUCCGCGCCGCAUUAGCUAGUUGGUAAGGUAACGGCUUACCAAGGCAACGAUGCGUAGCCGACCUGAGAGGGUGAUCGGCCACACUGGAACUGAGACACGGUCCAGACUCCUACGGGAGGCAGCAGUAGGGAAUCUGCCGCAAUGGGCGAAAGCCUGACGGAGCAACGCCGCGUGAGUGAUGAAGGUCUUCGGAUCGUAAAACUCUGUUAUUAGGGAAGAACAAAUGUGUAAGUAACGAUGCACGUCUGGACGGUACCUAAUCAGAAAGCCACGGCGAACUACGU
rnacentral:rRNA from 1 species